rnacentral:rRNA from 1 species
AUUGAACGCUGGCGGCAGGCCUAACACAUGCAAGUCGAGCGGGUGACGGGAGCUUGCUCCUUGAUUCAGCGGCGGACGGGUGAGUAAUGCCUAGGAAUCUGCCUGGUAGUGGGGGACAACGUUUCGAAAGGAACGCUAAUACCGCAUACGUCCUAUGGGAGAAAGCAGGGGACCUUCGGGCCUUGCGCUAUCAGAUGAGCCUAGGUCGGAUUAGCUAGUAGGUGAGGUAAUGGCUCACCUAGGCGACGAUCCGUAACUGGGCUGAGAGGAUGAUCAGUCACACUGGAACUGAGACACGGUCCAGACUCCUACGGGAGGCAGCAGUGGGGAAUAUUGGACAAUGGGCGAAAGCCUGAUCCAGCCAUGCCGCGUGUGUGAAGAAGGUCUUCGGAUUGUAAAGCACUUUAAGUUGGGAGGAAGGGCAGUAAGCUAAUACCUUGCUGUUUUGACGUUACCGACAGAAUAAGCACCGGCUAACUCUGUGCCAGCAGCCGCGGUAAUAC